GCACCCGUAGUUUAAUGGAUAAAGCGUCUCCCUCCGAAGGAGAAGACUGUGCGUUCAAUUCGCACCGGGUGUA
rnacentral:tRNA from 1 species